rnacentral:rRNA from 1 species
GUAGGGAAUAUUGGGCAAUGGUCGGAAGACUGACCCAGCCAUGCCGCGUGCAGGAAGACGGCCCUCUGGGUUGUAAACUGCUUUUAUCUGGGAAGAAAAAGGCCAUGCGUGGCAAAUUGCCGGUACCAGAUGAAUAAGCACCGGCUAACUCCGUGCCAGCAGCCGCGGUAAUACGGAGGGUGCGAGCGUUGUCCGGAUUUAUUGGGUUUAAAGGGUGCGUAGGCGGCUGAUUAAGUCAGCGGUGAAAGACUUCGGCUUAACCGGAGCAGUGCCGUUGAUACUGGUUGGCUUGAGUGUCGGGGGGGUACAUGGAAUUGAUGGUGUAGCGGUGAAAUGCAUAGAUACCAUCAGGAACACCGAUAGCGAAGGCAUUGUACUGGCCGACAACUGACGCUGAUGCACGAAAGUGUGGGGAUCGAACAGGAUUGGAAACCCUGGUAGUCC